GCUUAUCACCAUUCCAGAUUGAAUAUACCCGAUCUCAGAAGUCAAGCAAUCUCGGGCUUGGUUAGUACUUGGAUGGGUGACCGCUUGGGAAUAACAAGUGUGAUAAGCA
rfam:Ciona savignyi cont_36961, whole genome shotgun sequence.